AGAGCGAACGCUGGCGGCAGGCCUAAUACAUGCAAGUCGAACGGAUCCUUCGGGAUCAGUGGCGGACGGGUGAGUAACGCGUGGGAAUAUGCCCUUUGGUACGGAACAACUGAGGGAAACUUCAGCUAAUACCGUAUGUGCCCUUCGGGGGAAAGAUUUAUCGCCAUUGGAGUAGCCCGCGUUGGAUUAGCUAGUUGGUAGGUAAAGCCUACCAAGGCUACGAUCCAUAGCUGGUCUGAGAGGAUGAUCAGCCACACUGGGACUGAGACACGGCCCAG
rnacentral:rRNA from 1 species